rnacentral:rRNA from 1 species
GACGAACGCUGGCGGCGUGCUUAACACAUGCAAGUCGAACGAGUGGCGAACGGGUGAGUAACACGUGGGUGACCUGCCCUGCACUUCGGGAUAAGCCUGGGAAACUGGGUCUAAUACCGGAUAGUGUGGGAUGGGCCCGCGGCCUAUCAGCUUGUUGGUGGGGUAAUGGCUACCAAGGCGCGACGGGUAGCCGGCCUGAGAGGGUGGACGGCCACAUUGGGACUGAGACACGGCCCAGACUCCUACGGGAGGCAGCAGUGGGGAAUUUUGGACAAUGGGGGAAACCCUGAUCCAGCCAUCCCGCGUGUAUGAUGAAGGCCUUCGGGUUGUAAAGUACUUUUGGCAGAGAGACGGUAUCUGCAGAAUAAGCACCGGCUAACUACGUGCCAGCAGCCGCGGUAAUUC